rnacentral:rRNA from 1 species
GGCUUUAUGAUAAUAAUUUAAGGUCUGACCUGCCCCCUGAAAUUUUAAAGGGCCGCAGUAUUUUGACUGUGCUAAGGUAGCAUAAUCAUUAGUUUUUUAAUUGAAAGCUGGAAUGAAGGGUUGAAUGAGAAAAUUUCUGUCUCAAUAAAAAUUUAAAUGAAUUUUAUUUUUAAAUAAAAAAGUUUAAAUAUAAUUAAAAGACGAGAAGACCCUAUAGAAUUUAAUAUAAAUUUUUAUUAAUUUUUUUUAGUAAUUUAAUUUUUAAUAAAAAUUUAUAUUUGAUUGGGGUGAUUGAAAAAUUUAAUUAACUUUUUUAAAAAUAAUUUCAUUGAUUUAUGUAUAAUUGAUCUUUUUAUUAUGAUUAUAAGAUUAAAUUACCUUAGGGAUAACAGCGUAAUUUUUUUUAAGAGUUCAAAUCGAUAAAAAAGAUUGCGACCUCGAUGUUGGAUUAAAAUUUAAAUUUGGUGUAGAAGCUAAAAUUUUAGGUCUGUUCGACCUUUAGAAUUUUACAUGA